rnacentral:rRNA from 1 species
GAAAGUAAUUAAGGGCGUAUGGGGGAUGCCUAGGCUCUUGGAGGCUAAGAAGGACGUGGUAAGCUGCGAAAAGCUGCGGGGAUUUGCAAACGAGACUCGAUCCGCAGAUAUCCGAAUGGGACAACCCGGCAGGUAGAAGACCUGUCACACCGCGAGGUGAGCUAACCCUCUGAACUGAAACAUCUAAGUAGGAGGAGGAAAAGAAAGAAACAUCGAUUUCCAAAGUAGCGGCGAGCGAAAUGGAAGGAGCCCAAACCGAUAUUGUUACGGCAAUAUCGGGGUUGUAGGACUGCAAUAUUCAAUUAACAAUGAACUGGAAUGGUCUGGAAAGUCCAUCCAUAGAGAGUGAAAGGCUCGUACAGGUAAGUUUGUUAUGCGAAAGCAGUAUCCUGAGUAUGGCGGGACACGAGGAAUCCUGUCAGAAUCAGCCGGGACCACCCGGUAAGGCUAAAUACUCCCAAGAGACCGAUAGUGGACCAGUACUGUGAAGGAAAGGUGAAAAGAACCCCGAACAGGGGAGUGAAAUAGAACCUGAAACCAUACGCUUACAACCGGUCGGAGCAGCUUCGUGCUGUGACGGCGUGCCUAUUGAAUAAUGAGCCUACGAGUUACUAAUCACUAGCGAGGUUAAGUGCAAGGAUGCACGGAGCCGAAGCGAAAGCGAGUCUGAACAGGGCGUUUAGUUAGUGGUUGUAGACGCGAAACCUUGCGAUCUACCCUUGAGCAGGUUGAAGGUUGGGUAAAACCAACUGGAGGACCGAACGAAUAAGCGUUGAAAAGCUUCUCGAUGACUUGAGGGUAGGGGUGAAAGGCUAAUCAAGCUGGGAAAUAGCUCGUACUCCCCGAAAUGCCUUUUGGGGCAGCGUUGUAAUAAAGAGUCUACUGGAGGUAGAGCUACUGAUUGGAUGCGGGGGCUUCACCGCCUACCAAAUCCUGACAAACUCCGAAUGCCAGUAGUAUGAUUUACAGCAGUGAGUGACUGGGUGCUAAUGUCCAGUCGCAAAAGAGGAACAACUCAGACCAGCAACUAAGGUCCCGAAGAAUAUGCUAAGUUGAUCUAACGAUGUUUUGUUGCAGAGACAGCUAGGAUGUUAGCUUGGAAGCAGCUAUUCAUUCAAAGAGUGCGUAACAGCUCACUAGUCGAGCGACAGAGCGUGGAUAAUAAACGGGCAUCAAGCAUAUCACCGAAGUUCUGGGCGCGAGAGCGCGGUAGGGGAGCAUUCCAUUCAGCGUCGAAGCAGUUUCGUGAGGAAUUGUGGAGCGUAUGGAAAAGCAAAUGUAGGCAUGAGUAACGAUAAUGCGGGAGAGUAACCCGCACACCGCAAGACCAAGGUUUCCUGAUCAACGCUAAUCGGAUCAGGGUUAGUCGGGUCCUAAGGGUAAGCCGAACGGCGAUCUCGAUGGAUAAUCGGUUAAUAUUCCGAUACUAACAUAUACCUCGAUGGAGAGACGAAGGAACGUAAGUGCCGCCACCUGACGGAAUAGGUGGUUAAAGGGCGUAGAUAUAGGGGCAGAUUAAGAGUUAGUCCUUGCUGAAACCUGACAGUACAGAGAGCCUACGGGCAAUUUGAUAGAGCACCCAAGUCGACUUCCGAGAAAAUCUUCUAAGUUAUAGUAUAUGUUACCCGUACCGUAAACCGACACAGGUGGUCGAGGAGAGUAUCCUAAGGUGCUCGAGUGAAUCACGGUUAAGGAACUAGGCAAAUUAACCCCGUAACUUCGGGAAAAGGGGUCCCUAUGAAAGUAGGGCGCAGCGAAGAGGUCCAGGCGACUGUUUAUCAAAAACACAGGGCUCUGCAAAUUCGAAAGAAGACGUAUAGGGCCUGACACCUGCCCGGUGCUGGAAGGUUAAGAGGGGAUGUCAUCGCAAGAGAAGCAUUGAAUCGAAGCCCCAGUAAACGGCGGCCGUAACUAUAACGGUCCUAAGGUAGCGAAAUUCCUUGUCGGGUAAGUUCCGACCUG